GCCGCGGGCCGCGAGGGAGGGGCGGCGUAGCGGCCGCGGUGGGGCGAGAGGCCGGGAUAGGGCCGUGCCUCAGCGGCGGGGGCUGAACGCCCUCGGGUAGAACGGUGAGGGCUGGCAUCGAUGCCCCGAGUACUGCUCACCCAUGCGGGUGUUUUUAAACCACCGUGCUCUUCUAGGCCGCAGUCAUCAGCCCGAGGCAUUCACCUCUUGUAACUUUCACUUUCCUGUUGUUAUGGUUGCUUUUGCUGUGUCAACUUCUUCCUCUGGCCAGUGUAACACUGCCUCACCCUAAGGUCACAUCAUCUCAUUCUCGUGUAUUUGCCGUGAGCAGGGCUGCCACCCACCAGCUCAGGCUGCCCAGGGCCCAUCCAACCUGGCCUUGAUCACCUCCAGGGAUGGGGCACCACAGCUUCUCUGGGCAGCUGUGCCAGGGCCUCACCGCCCUCUGAGUGAAAAAUCUCCCCCAAAAUCUAAUUUGACAAGCUUAAAAAACGUUUCAAAGCAAAAAUCACAAAAGGAGGGAUUCACAGUGAGACUGCAUCAGAGUUAGUAGACAAGCCGGUAUCUAAAGGAUAAAAAAAUUAAACCUAAUAGUAAAAAUUCAAAGGCUUUCCUUUUACAAAAUGUUUUUCCAAAGUAGUGAAAAGAUUGGAAACCACACAGCUCCCUCUGAAGAGGCAGCUGUAAUGUUCCAAUAUACCUCAAGGGAAGGAUGAGAAGAACUUCUCGUAAAUCUUGUUUAUUUAGCACAAUUUCACUCACAGUGUCUAAAAGUGUUAAACUAAUCUAAAUGCUGCACAGGGGUUACAGAAAAUAAUAGCAUAUGCCUCCAAUGGACGUUAAGUGAUCUACUCCAGCCCAGUUUUACUGUAGCUGCAUGAACCUUGGAGCUGUAGGCUGCAGCUUCCUUACUUUGGGCAAGAUAAGAAAGAACGGUUUUUUGUUUUGUUUUUUUUUUUUUUUUCCAGAAGAAGAAACUGGCAUUUGCUGAUAAGAAUUAUUCUUUUUCUAACUCUUGAAUUUGUAUGUAGGGUCAGGUAAAAAUGAAUUACGUAUAAUGAACAAGGGCAGCUACAAGCGAAUAUCAGAGGGACCAGAGAAAACAGCAUGUAUAUCUGCUCCAAGCUUUUUGCAUUGGUGGAGAGCCACUAACACACAGAGCAGAAAUAGUACAUGAAGGCUCGUGACUUGUUCUAUGUUCUCAUUAGCUUCAGCUGUUUAGUAAAUAGACUGUUCUUAGCCUGGCAAGUGGAUUUUUUUUUUUUUUUUUUGCACUCAUUUAUCUUGAGCCAAGUAGUAGAUAGCAAUCUAUCUUGAAGACAGUCAGUUCUAGAUGCACUGCAGAAAGACAGAGGGAAUUCCUUUCUUCUUGGCAGUAGGUUUUAUGAAAGUGCAUAGACUGAACACGUCUGACUAUGUGCCAUGCUGGCAUAGAUAAAGGAUAGAAUGGCUGAAGUUUCUCCAAGCAUUACCUGCAGUCAUAUUUGAAAUUAUUUUGUCCAAGUUGCUUUUCAUUUAAUUCUCAUCAUAUACUGUGAUACCUGUAUGACUGUGGACGUACAUCAGCACGUCUUUGGCUUAUUGUUUAUAGUUGAUUUAUCCAGAAUCUGCAUGUAUGUUUUGUGGAGGCAUUCUUAGCCAUGUAGGACUGUGUGACGGUGCUCUUAAGAAACAACAAGGAGCUGCCUCCAUGGAAUUCAGAUGUAAAGUAAGACAGUUCAUUAUGUUUCAAGUGAUUUUUGCUAAAACAUAGAAUUAAAUGUAAGCAUGAGUUGAAUUUAAGCACCGUAACAUUCCAAAAGCAGUGGGUUUUCUUUGUUGGAUGCUCCCUACCCCAAUCAUGUCCUGUAAGUUUCUGUGAAAUACUUCACACAUACUGAGUGCCCUUUUAAAUUAAUAAUCCCCUUAAGAUGAUAAACAGAAAAUUCCUCUUUCUAUUCAUCAGAGACUUGCUCAUCUUUCCAGUGGAGACUACAGUAUGAAUACAAGUUACCCUACAGAUUUUUGUAACAAGUGUCAACUUAAACCAGUUUUACUACUAGCUUCAGUAUUUGUUUUUAGUAAGCAAAGUAUUUAUUGAAACAUUACCUUGUGUAUAAUGACCUAAUGCACAGAUUUCUCCCUUCCCAAAUUUCCAUUCUUUCUACUGAAGUCUAAACUGCAGUAAUUAUUUUAGCUGUAAGACAGCCAUGUGUAUGAUCUAUAAAUAUUUCUAUUACAAACCAUUUGCUGCUUCUAUUAAAAUAUACUUAGUGUUUAAUAAAAGCUUCUAUUUCUCUGCAGCUUUUUUGGCACAAGACUUAAAGGGCAUAAAACUUGCCUGUUUGUGAAACUACGUACACUUACCCACUCUGAGAACAUUUAGAUAGUUGGUUUCUACUGAGCUUUGUUAUCCCACAUAUGUUCUUCUGCUGGAGCCUUUUAUGUCAGAAAACCUUUGAAGAGUGGGAGUAGCUCUUUAAAUUUAUCUGGAAGCAGUGGGGUUUCUUUUACAAUUGGCUGUUGCUGCUCACGUCGUUUUAUUUCAAGGUAGUAAAUGCUAUGAAUGUCAGAUUUUCAUGAAAAGGUAAGACAUACUAUCCAUAAAUUUCCGACACAGUAUCAACUUCUGCUCAUUCAACAUUUUCCUUCCUUUAGCAUCUCUUCCAAAGUUGGAAAAUGCAAUUUAUGCAUCAGUGUCGUUUCUAACAUAUUUGAUGCUGAGUGUCAGAAUCCUACUUAUCUUGUAGCAAGUUGUAAAACGUUAGCUCUUUACACAAAGGCACAGAUGUUCUUACAGCUUCCCUGUGUACUGUACUUUUAGAGACGUACCAUAUACUCUACCAAAGACCAUAUUUUUUCUGUCGAGAUCAUCUCCUCCUUGUGAAUCAGAACGGGAAAGCAAAGAAGCUCUUGGAAGCUCAAGGAAGAACAUCUUGCCCUUAGUUUCUUGAAAAGGUAUUUGUUCGUUCCAAAGACAUGCACGUGAACUCCUCAGGUCUGUUGCAUUUUGUUUGUUUUCCCACUUAUUAUUUCUGAUCACUCCUCUCAAAAUGCUCUGAACUGAGCUCUCUGGGACGUAAGCAGUGAUGCUGGAGGAGUGCCCUCACAUAAGGACUGAAAAGGACAGUGAAAUCACUUGAAGCCACAGAGCAGCUAAAGUUCGAGAGAUUAUUUAGAGGUAUUGUUCUUGGGGAUAUUAAAUGCUCAAAAUAGAACAUAAAACAUUUUUUUCAUAUUUCUAGUCGGAACAACUGUUCCCUGAAAUAACGAUAUAUAUAUAUAUAUAUAUAUAUCAUGGUGAAGCACAGUAUAGCAGUUACAGCAUCAGCUCUCGGAACACCGUAAAGGCAGAGUACAGUUACAAGCAUUAGAGGCUGGCAUGUUAACCACCCCACGAGAAUGCAGCACAAGCUACAGCAAUCAAACAGAACACAAGGCACAUACUUUAGCUCUCAGCUGCUUCACCAAACCAGCACGGCUGCUUUCAGCCGCAAAGCCAAGUGGCUGUAUGGCAUGGCACAGCACGCAGCACUCCCAAGCCUCCCAUUAGGAUAAACACACUCCCACAGAGCACACAUGCAAAACACAGCACUCCCAAGCCUCUCUCCAACUUCUGUUUAAAUCUUCCCUGCUACUUUAUGAUUGCUUAUUAAAUGUUGCAUUUCAUAAGCAGGAUGAUCGCAGUAUCUGUCAUCCUGCCCUUGAUCUGUAUUAGUCCCACACUGUUCAUGAGGGGCUGCCAUGCAAUUGCUAAGGUAGGUUCCCCCCAGGGUUGCUAACUGUGCCAGGGCCAGGCCUUGCUUAACAGGUUCUGUAAGAGAGCAACAUGAAGAUGCAAGCAAGUGAAACUACUUUUUACAUUCCCUCUAAAUUAGCAUGUUAAUAUGUUGGAUGCUGUGCUUUGCAUUUUCCCUCCUGCAAGUCUUUGCAGAUUAUAGAAAGCAGUAGUUAAUCUUUCAAAAGAGCAAAAAAAUAUUCUUCCCAAUUCCUUAUGUGCUUGUUUCAUCCUACAGAGUUAAAUUGGAAUUUAACAACAUUAAUAUCCUUACAACAGAAAUCCAUAGCAUAGCAACUAAACAACAUUUAAUCCUUCAUUUGGUUCUUUAGGUUUCUUUUGCAAUUUCUACAGCUGUCCUUCCUGCAAUUUUUCCUGUGAGAUGCCAAGAAUAAUAUUCCCCAUACAAUCUGCUGUUUUAAUUGUUGAGAAUCUCACUGCCAUUUUGAAUUAAAUACAUAAACAUGCUAAAACAUAAGGUUCUUACCUUGCUGAUCUUAACAGCCUUCCCUUAGAAGGACAGCUGCUUCUCCUUCCCCUGCCUGGUGGACCCCUUACACCACCUCCCUUACCUCUCGGAUUUCUGAUGUUAGUUGAGCUGCUGGUAGCAGCAACAAUACUAGGAACACGGGAGAAUAAGAGAGUGAAGGGCAGUUACUGAGGGUGAUAUUAGAAUGAUACUGGCUGAGGAUUCAGUUGUUCUGCUGUGAAUAUUCUGUGGGUGCAGAGGUGCUGCAGACAAAAAAGCUGGACAACCUCCAGCCACAAGGGUUCACACAUUCAGAGGGAGACAUUGAAGAAAACUCACUCAGACUGUGUUACUCUUAUCCUCAUGGCUUGCUUUCUCCCAUUGCCCAUGACAGAAUAAACAGCUGCCCCACUGAGCUGAAGAAUGCACAGACGCAUUAUGGGGCUGGGGGUAUCAGCCUGUGAUACAGAGGGGAAACAAGAGGAAGACAGAACAUGGUGCUGGCAUCUAAACAUCCUGUACCUUACCUUGUGACUCACUGAAAGUUGCCUUGAUCUCUGUUGUAGAAGCUGCUUUCAAGGAUGAAACCCUCUGAUUUAGAAGGGAAAUUCAGAAGGAUUUUUAAUAGUGAAGAAAACAGGAAGGGAUGACACGGGAGGUAAUUGAUAUCACACGUUGAUGAAGGAACAUCUGAAACUGUAGAAAGGCUAACAGAAGUAUUUGGCUAAAUCUAAGAUAGUCCAAAAGAUGACUACACUGUAAAGUCAGUCCAUCGUACUACUAAUGUAACGAAUCCUGUGUCACAGAGCUGUUUUUCCCAUUCUAAUAUGCAUUAAAUACAAAAUCCAUUGAUCAGUA